AGGAGAGGAGGGAAGGCUGAACCAAGACCAGGCAUUAGGGAUGGCGGGAGCGGGCAGCGGAGGGGCCUUCGGAGCAGGAAGAGGUGGAAAGUCUGGAAGACACCCUGAUAGAGGCUGGAAGACUCUGAUAGAGACGUCCAGCUCAUAAAGGCCGGAGAGAGAGGCUGCCCCAGCCUUCAAGGAAAGUCUCUGACCAGCUUUGGAUCUCAGAGGAUUACUCUGGCCCACAAGUGCCCCUGGCCUGCCUGCUGACCCCAACACACGCAGGGACUGGAGCACGGUACCAACAGAAGCCAAGGACCACGUGUCUACACACAUGAAGCUGGAGAUUGAGCCCACAAACUCCUAAUAAAGCAAACUCUGUCCUUCCACCUGGGCAAGUGUACCUUCCCGACGAGGGGAAGACCAAGUCCAAAUUUAGAAUUCUUGGGGUGCUUGGAGGCUGUGCCAGA
rnacentral:lncRNA from 1 species